rnacentral:lncRNA from 1 species
CAGGAGGGUUGCUGGCCGGUUCGCAGAGCGGGGGCUGGCUUCUGUCGCCUCUCGCCUCGAUAAAACAUUUCUGCAGUAAAUCAUCCAUCCACUGCAAGGACAGCUGUUCUUCUUCAUGAGUUUGUUCAGAGUCUCUACUUUUUUGGAAUGGAUACCAUACAAUAUGUUACCUGCCUCCAAGCGCAGAGGAAGACACCUUUCUUCUAGACCUGAAGAAGGAUGCAGGAAAGCAUAAGGGCCUUAAUGCUGUCCUAUGAUUUUUGUAUUUUGUAGAUACCUGUGCUUAGGGAAGCAAAAGGUACCAAGUUCCCUGAAAACGGAUAAAUUGUUCACAAACUAUAGAGGUGUAUUGAGUAAUUUCAGAUGCUUUACUUUUCAGGCUGCUGAUGGCAUGGUCUAAGUUUUUAGGUGAUAGAAAUACCAGAUUGGAAGGAAUAUUAUGUAUAAGAUAUUUUCACAUAUGCUAAUGUGCAACCAAGUCAAAGCUGAGUAAGACUGCCAAGCAGUCUGAAUUGUACUAAUUCACUGAUCAACAUGGGCUUUCAGUAGCUGGACCUGUUGAGCCACCAUCGGUACUUGGAUUCAGACAUGAAGAAAUGUAGAUAUUUUAGACCUCGUGUUUAUAUUGAAGUAUCUGUUAGAGACCUUAAUCAGGAUUUGGGUGUUUCUCUGCCCUGUUCAGACACUUACCAAAACUACAGUCAUUCACUGAUGAUAAUUUGCUUUGAAAACUCCAAAAGAAAACAAGAUGUAUGGAAUUGUGCACAUGUAGAAGCAUCAAGACAUGUGGCAACACUUUUUAUGCCUUUAUCCAAGUGUUUCAGAAUGAUUUACAAGCAUUAAUUAAUAAUCACUUCGGCAGCGUAAUGCCUUCUGCCCAUCCAGUAAAUAUUACCAAAACAGGGAUCUUUCUUAUCAGAGCGCUGCUAGGAAUAGAGGAUUUCGUCUCUGCCUUUGCUAUUUCCACGCUUACCACUGAAUCAAUAUUGUUUACGCAGAAACAGCAUUAUAGAAAAAUCAGACUACAUUUCUCACCAAGAUUCAUUAGAAGUUUUCAGACACUGGCUAAGGCAAAUGAAAGGAAAGAGGUAGUUUUUUUUCUUGUUUGCCUCAUGUUUCUUUAUUAAUGAUCUGCUACAAUUAAUAGUCCCAAUCUAUAUUGGUUUAAAAGUUUUAUUAUCAUUAAAGUUAAAAUAUCAGUCAGUCCACUGAGUCAUGUAAACAGCUGUGCUAGGAGGGAAGGAUUAAAGCAUGGCU